UACGGACUUGAGGAAAAUCCGUCGACUUUAAAAAUCGUGAGGG
rnacentral:tRNA from 1 species